AGGCGGGGAUGACGGCAAGUCCUCAUGGCCCUUACGCGUAGGGCUACACACGUGCUACAAUGGCAGUGACAAUGGGUUAAUCCCCAAAAGCUGUCUCAGUUCGGAUUGUCGGCUGCAACUCGCCGGCAUGAAGUUGGAAUCGCUAGUAAUCGUGGAUCAGCAUGCCACGGUGAAUACGUUCCCGGGCCUUGUACACACCGCCCGUCACGUCACGAAAGUCGGUAACGCCCGAAGCCGGUGGCCCAACCCUUGUGGAGGGAGCCGUCGAAGGCGGGAUCGGCGAUUGGGACGAAGUCGUAACAAGGUAGCCGUACCGGAAGGUGCGGCUGGAACACCUCCUU
rnacentral:rRNA from 1 species